rnacentral:rRNA from 1 species
GAGGGGGCAACUCCUCAUUCAGUGGCGAACGGGUGAGUAACGCAUCGGAACGUGUCCGGAAGUGGGGGAUAACGCCGCGAAAGCGGCGCUAAUACCGCAUAUGCUCUACGGAGGAAAGUGGGGGACCCGCAAGGGCCUCAUGCUUUCGGGGCGGCCGAUGUCCGAUUAGCUUGUUGGCGGGGUAAUGGCCCACCAAGGCGACGAUCGGUAGCUGGUCUGAGAGGAUGAUCAGCCACACUGGGACUGAGACACGGCCCAGACUCCUACGGGAGGCAGCAGUGGGGAAUUUUGGACAAUGGGGGCAACCCUGAUCCAGCCAUGCCGCGUGCGGGAAGAAGGCCUUCGGG